AUUGAACGCUGGCGGCAGGCUUAACACAUGCAAGUCGAGCGGAGAUGAGGUGCUUGCACCUUAUCUUAGCGGCGGACGGGUGAGUAAUGCUUAGGAAUCUGCCUAUUAGUGGGGGACAGCAUACCGAAAGGAAUGCUAAUACCGCAUACGUCCUACGGGAGAAAGCAGGGGAUCUUCGGACCUUGCGCUAAUAGAUGAGCCUAAGUCGGAUUAGCUAGUUGGUGGGGUAAAGGCCUACCAAGGCGACGAUCUGUAGCGGGUCUGAGAGGAUGAUCCGCAAGCCUGGGACUGUGACACGGCCCAGAGUCCUACGGGGGGCAGCAGUCGGGAAUAUUGGACAAUGGGGGAAACCCUGAUCCAGCCAUGCCGCGUGUGUGAAGAAGGCCUUAUGGUUGUAAAGCACUUUAAGCGAGGAGGAGGCUACUGAGACUAAUACUCUUGGAUAGUGGACGUUACUCGCAGAAUAAGCACCGGCUAACUCUGUGCCAGCAGCCGCCGCGGUAA
rnacentral:rRNA from 1 species